CUACGGGGGGCUGCAGUGAGGAAUCUUGGACAAUGGGCGAAAGCCUGAUCCAGCGACGCCGCGUGGGUGACGAAGGCCUUCGGGUUGUAAAGCCCUGUCAGAGGGGAAGAAGUUCUGACGGUACCCUCAGAGGAAGCACAGGCUAACUCCGUGCCAGCAGCCGCGGUAAUACGGAGUGUGCAAGCGUUGCUCGGAAUCACUGGGCGUAAAGGGCGCGUAGGCGGCUUGGUAAGUUGGAUGUGAAAGCCCUCGGCUCAACCGAGGGACUGCAUCCAAAACUGCCUGGCUAGAGUACGGAAGAGGAAGGCGGAAUUCCCAGUGUAGGGGUGAAAUCCGUAGAUAUUGGGAAGAACACCAGUGGCGAAGGCGGCCUUCUGGGACGAUACUGACGCUGAGGCGCGAAAGCGUGGGGAGCAAACAGGAUUAGAUACCCGAGUAGUC
rnacentral:rRNA from 1 species